CUGGACAUGAUUGCUGGCCAGC
rnacentral:piRNA from 1 species